rnacentral:lncRNA from 10 species
CUUUGCUCCCAGAGCGCCCAAGAUGGUGGCGGGCCACUUCCAUAAUUUUGGCAGGCCACUUCCAAGAUGGUGGCAAGCCUCCUGUUCUCUGACCUGGGGCUCUUGGCCUCACGGAUUCCAAGGAAUGGAAUCUUGAGCCAUGCGGUGAGUGUUAUAGCUCUAUUAGAAGCUGUGGGUCACGGAAGAGAACCGUGGAACCCAGUGACUAGUGUUCAGCUUGAUUAGGAUGAACCCAGGCGCUUAGCUGUGCAGGAACAAUGGCAAGCCUUCAGCCCGAUCGGGAGUGGCAAUGGAUGCCUCGCUGGAUCAGGAGCAGAGCGGACACCUUGCUAGCCAGGAUGGUCUUGAUCUCCUGACCUUGUGAUCCGCCCGCCUCGGCCUCCCAAAGUGCUGGGAUUACAGGUGUGAGCCAUCGUGCCCAGCCAAGAACUGUCUUCACAACAACUGGUGCUGGGGAAAUUAGGUACCCACAUGUAAAAGAAUGAACCUGUGCCCUUCACUUAUACUGUAAGAAAAAAUUAACUAACUGGAUCAAAUACCUAAAUGUAAGAGCUAAAACUACAAAAUUCUUAGAAUAAAAUAUAGGGGAAACACGUCAUAACACUGGAUUUGGCAGUUUUUUUUUUUUAAACAGGACACCCACAACACAAGAAACAAAAGAAAAAUAGACGAAUAGGAAUCUAUCCAGAAUAUGCAAAGAACAAUUCAGCAACAAUAAAACAAACUACUUGUUUAAAAUAUUGGCAAAAACUUAAGCAGACAUUUCUCUAAAAAUUAUGUAAAGUAGCUAAUAAGCACAUGAAAAGACACUCAACAAAACUCAUCAUUAGUGAAAUGCAAAUCUAACCCCAAAUGACAUAUCACUUAAUACCCAUCAGCAUAGCUACUACCAAAAGAAAAAAAAAAACAGAAAAUCCGAAGUGUUGGUGAGGACGUGGAGCAAUUAGAAUCCUUGUACACUGUUGGUGGAAAUGUAAAAUGCUGCAGCUGCUAUAAAAUAACAACACAGUAACUAAAAAAUUUACACAUAAAAUCACCAUACGAUCCAGCAAUUUCACAUCUGGGUAUGCAGCAAAAGAUAUGAAAGCAAAGACACAAAAUAAUAUACAUACACCUAGGUUCAUAGCAGCAUUACUCACAUCACCAAAAAGGUGUUUGAAUUACUCAAGUGUUGUUUGAAUUACCAUCAAUGAUUAAUAGAUAAAAUGUGAUUUAUACAUAGAGUGGAAUGUUAUUCAGUUAUGUAAAAUAAGGAAAUUCUGACACAUGGUACGUCAUGCAUGAACCUUAAGGACAUUGUGCAAAGUGACAUGAGCCAGUCAUAAAAGGACAAAUACUGAAUCAUUCCACUUAUGAGAUACUUAGAGUAGUUAAAUUCUAGAAACCCAAAUAGAAGAGUAGUUCUUAGGAGCUAGAGGGGGAGUAACAAGGAGCUUAUUUAAUGGGUAUAGAGUUUUGUUUCUGCAAGUUGAAAGAAGGUCCCUAUGAGUGGUAAUGACAGUUGCAAAACAAUGUGAAAGUAGUUAAUUUUUCUGAGCUGCACACUUAAAAUAGCUAAAAUGGUUAAUUUUAUGUAUACUUUACCACAAUGUAAAAAAUAAUUUUAAAAUAAACUAUAGCUAUCUGCAAUAUCAUGAAUUAAUAUCAUAAAUAUAAUGUUGCAUAGAAGAAAGUAGAUGUAAAAGUAUACAUAUUACACAAUCUCACUGUUAUAAAAUCCAAAAAGUGAACACAACUGAGCUUCUGGCUUCCAGUAAUAAUGAAGUAAAGUAGUUUGUUGAACACUUCACAGAUAACUAUAACAAAGCUCUUUGGUCACAGGGCUGCAGCACUGCAAUCCCAGCAUGCACCAGGCUCAGGGAGAGUGCGCUAAUCACUGGAGGAAGGGACGAGGCUCCGCGCCUCUCGCUGGUCUUGCUGGGAGAUGCAGUCUCAUAAACACUCCCAGCCCUUUGGUCACAGGGCUGCGAGCACUGCAAUCCCAGCAUGCACCAGGCUCAGGGAGAGUGCGCUAAUCACUGGAGGAAGGGACGAGGCUCCGCGCCUCUCGCUGGUCUUGCUGGGAGAUGCAGUCUCAUAAACACUCCCAGCCCUUUGGUCACAGGGCUGCAGCACUACAAUCCUAGCAUGCACCGGGCUCCGGGAAAGUGCGCGUCACCGGAGGAAGAGGCAGGGCUGUGCGCGCCUCCCUAGGAUUGUUGGAAGAUGCAUUCUCAUAAACACUCCCAACCCUUUGGUCAAAGGGCUACAGGACUACAAUCCCAGCAUGCACCAGGCUCCAGGGCGAGGCGCAGCCCUGGAAGAAGGGGCAGAGUGGUACCCGCCCCACCUAAUAUGCUGGGAGCUGUAGUCCGUUACCUACUCUCAGCCUGUUUGUCGGUAAGCUUCAGAGCUAUAAUCCCAGCAUGUACCGGGAUCCGGGGUCCAUAGCCCUGGAGGGAGGGGCAGAGCGGUGUGGACUUCCCGGUGUCCAAAGCACUGCUGAGUUCUGAUGCUAUGCCGACUCUUUGCAAGGAGAUAAAAAACACAUUCCUGGGUGGAGAUUUAAGAUGCUAGUGAGGCAUGCAAUGUAUGCACAAAUAUGUACAGCUACUGCACAUGUAUAACCAGAAGACCAGUCAGAACAUGCUUACCGUAACACUUCUUUCCACCUUCUUAUGAAAUAAUCAUGCAAAACUCCCAUAAAGAGGGUUUCUCCAGCAAUAAUUAAUGCUGUCUCAC